CCGUCCCUCGCGGCUCUUACCUCAGCUCUUCGUCGACACUCCUGCCGGGCUGUUCGGCCGAUGCCACCACAGAGGAAGUCGCAGCGCUCUUGUUCUUCAGGAUCCCCUUGAUGGGCCGGUGCGAGGCCGUCGAGGCCGCCAUUGCCCGUCGCUCCGGCGGUCGGCUCAGCGUCGCUGCUUGGCGCCGGAUCUGAAAAUUGAAGCUCAAAGGUGACAUCAUUCGCCAAAGAUAUUAACUGACUUUCAGAGAAAUGAAAAGGCCAUGUGAAGACAGGGGACUGGAGUGAUGCAUCUACAAGCUAAGGACCACCUGGGGCUACCCAAAGCUGGCAGAAGCUUGGAGAAGACUCUCCUUUCGACAUCUCAGAAGGAACCAACCCUGCUGACAUUUUGAUUUUGGACUUUUAGUCUCCAGACUGUGAGAUUAAAUUUCUGUUGUUUA